GACGAACGCUGGCGGCGUGCUUAACACAUGCAAGUCGAACGGAAAGGCCCUGCUGUUGUGGGGUGCUCGAGUGGCGAACGGGUGAGUAACACGUGAGUAACCUGCCCUUGACUUUGGGAUAACUUCAGGAAACUGGGGCUAAUACCGGAUAGGAGCUCCUGCUGCAUGGUGGGGGUGGGAAAGUUUCGGCGGUUGGGGAUGGACUCGCGGCUUAUCAGCUUGUUGGUGGGGUAGUGGCUUACCAAGGCUUUGACGGGUAGCCGGCCUGAGAGGGUGACCGGCCACAUUGGGACUGAGAUACGGCCCAGACUCCUACGGGAGGCAGCAGUGGGGAAUAUUGCACAAUGGGCGGAAGCCUGAUGCAGCAACGCCGCGUGCGGGAUGACGGCCUUCGGGUUGUAAACCGCUUUCGCCUGUGACGAAGCGUGAGUGACGGUAAUGGGUAAAGAAGCACCGGCUAACUACGUG
rnacentral:rRNA from 1 species